rnacentral:rRNA from 1 species
CAGUAGCCGCGGUAACACGGAGGGGGCUAGCGUUGUUCGGAAUUACUGGGCGUAAAGCGCACGUAGGCGGCUUGGUAAGUUAGAGGUGAAAGCCUGGAGCUCAACUCCAGAAUUGCCUUUAAGACUGCCGAGCUAGCAGGUGAGAGAGGUAAGUGGAAUUCCGAGUGUAGAGGUGAAAUUCGUAGAUAUUCGGAAGAACAUCAGUGGCGAAGGCGGCCAUCUGGGACAACACUGACGCUGAGGCACGAAAGCGUGGGGAGCAAACAGGAUUAGAUACCCGCGUAGUCCCUGUCUCUUAUAC